CGACUGAAUGAGCAUUGAGGUAAUUAUCGAUUGUAUAGCCGAUUCCCGGGUUUUAAAUGGUCUUGGUUACAAUAUUUGUCAUUGGAUAAAGACCAACUAUGUUGUCAUGUAAUAAAAAACCAUAAAGGGUAGAUAUAAAAGCCAAACGAGUGAGGUUUACGGGUCUUAUCAUUUGAAUUAAUGAUGUUGAAAUACUUGCAUUGACGAAAAUGGGAAUACGAAUAUUGUUAUUCAUGUGUUUAUUUACACUCUGCAUACCACUGGCGUCAUCUUCCUGUGGAAAAGUUUUGUUCUCGACUUGGUUUACAGUAAAGGAAUUUGAUGUUGACACACGCAAUGUGACUGUUCUGAUUGACUCUGGAUUAAGUGGUGUGUAUGCUAUGGACUACGAUUACGAAAACAGAUAUGUGUAUUUCCCAAAAUACAGUUCCGAAGAGAUUGUGCGAUUGGAGUUUUCAAUGGAAGAAGUAUGUCGCCAAGAAACAGCAAGAAGUUUCAGCACGACUUCGAUGAGCAACCGCAAAAAAAUCACUACACACAGUAUAGCACAUAAGAUAAAGCUUCGAGCCAAAUAUAUCAAUACUGUUCUGACACCUUGUUGGGAAAAUUUUGUGAAGACGACACAUACUACGAAGCAGACGCAAGACGACAGAUAGUGAUCUUUCUACAUGCUCAGGCAACAUAAUGAAAAUAUAUUUAUCUGAUGGAAAGAAGGAUUUAGGAAGAAAUCUAGUGCAUGAUCAAGCUUAUCUUUAUUCAUUUUUUGGCGAACACAUUUUCUUUAUUUGGAGGUGGAAGACCUGAAAUAUAUCAAAUCAAUGUUAUGCUCACAAUUGAUACAACAAAUAUAGGUUUCAGUAAAAAGGAAGAUCAAGAGCCAUAUGGGUGGUCUAAACAACUUACUGAAAUUGAGUUUGUAAAGCUGAACUAUCAAGAUUUGCAUAUCCCGCAAAGAACAUAAUAUUACAGACAGUUGUCAAGACGGGUUUAUACCCUUCAGGAAUAGCUGUUGAUUCAGCCAAUGAUUAUAUCUACUGGAUUGAGUAUGAUUUAGCCGGACUCUCAAGAUGCAAUCUAGACGGAAGCAAUGUGACUGUUUUAUCAACUUUAAGUAGUCCUUGGGCGAUACGACUCGAUCUUAUAAACAGGUGGAUGUAUAUAGUUGAACGUUAUUCAGGAAUUUUGAAGUCCAGAUUCAAUUCAACUGAACAGCAGGCUAUCGUUAAUUUUACAUCACAACGUGUUGACUGCAUUGAUAUAGACACUGAGGAGCAAAGAUUGUUUUGGAUUAAUUAUGAUGGUGACAUGAAAUCAGCCAAGGAUGAUGGCUCUGAUAUAACAAUAAUCCAUUCAACACAUUCUGAAAAAGCUUACCACGCUAUUGGUGUUAUAAGAACCUACAUGUAUUAUGCUAAUUACAAUCAGUUGCUGAUGGUAGACAAAGCACCAGGAUCCACGUCGAAUGUUCUGUAUACGGAUACCGGUCAUAUUGACAGUAUUUUUGUCUUUAUCAAAUCAGGUGUGUAAACCGCAAUUUAUUAAAAUAAUCAUAUUAAGAAACCGAAUGCACGUUUACACUUUCAUACUAUUAUGGGUCAACUCUUUUCGAAGAUGGAACUUUGGGACCUUUCUUUCUCUUCUUUCUUUCUUAUGUGUAAGCUUCCUAUCUUAGGAAACAUCCCUUAAUGGGUAAUAAGGAAUAUCUGCAUAAAUGGGUAAGAACGUAAAUUUUUUGAAUUUUUAAAAUUUCAAAUUUUGUCCUUAAUGACGACAUAUGACCAAUUGUUUCAAAUACACUGUGCAUAUGAUUCAUCAAUAUCGAUUACUGAGUUUGCGUUUCUUGUGAUUAAUUGUGUUUCUCUGCAGACGCAUACUGCUUUGUAACUAUUAGUAAUGUAUAAAUUGUAGCACAUUAAUUAACAAUAAACACUGUCUUUAGUGAGUUAUGUAACUUGGCAACAGUAUCAAUUUUGAAUCACAUUUUUGAAUUAUAUUGAAGAACGCAUACAUUUGAUGCCAUAAUAUACUUAUUAACAUGCGUAUUGAAUAUAUGAAGUUAUGUACGAUUUUUGUAUUUAUUUAAAUUGAAUAUUUGUAAAAUAAAACACAAAACACUCCCGUUUCAUGACUUAUCUUGAGUAUAUCUAAAUAUUUAUAUUGUUUUCAUAUUUGUACAUGUUGUAUUUAUGAUGUUUGCUUGUUUUACAUAAAUGCGCAUGCUGUUUAUAGUGAUUCACGUGUUGCUUGAUAUAUCUAUUUUUGUUUUGCUUCUGCUUUUUCGUUUUAACAUUUGUAUGUAUAUUGGUGUUUUCUUUUCAUAUUUCAAUGUUUUUACAGAGAUAUUUCACAUUACCUCCUACAAUUAAAUACAUAAGUUUAUGUGUACCUUUUUAGCGUUUAAUUUAAUAUUAAGUCAUGUUUUUUACAUCACACUUCCUUAUAGAUGAUACAGAUACAUAUAAUAAAUUUGAAUACAUCGUUUAACAAUUAUCAAUAUUUUUAGAUAAUUUCAAUGGCAACAUUUAUUAGGACUAAGGAAAAAAAUGAUGAGGUCUGUAAUUAUUUUAUCAAUAGCAUGUUUGCACCAUUACUGAUGUGUUUAAAUAUAAAAUUGAUAUAUUUUAAAGUCAAAUAAAGGCUAUUUACCUGUAAUAACAAUAAACAAAUCUGAUUUUAGAAAUAUGAUUUUCAUUUAAAGUGAUAAAACAAACUGAAAAUUUUAAAGCAUUUGAAUUCAUUGUUAACAUAUUACCUUUUUAUUGGUAUGUCUCACUGGAGCAAAGUGGUAAACAAGGAACUACUCACUACGAAAAUAAUAAGAACCUGGAAAAACACCGCAAGACAAAGGAAAAUUAUGACGACUAAUGUACAACCAACAUCACCACAGAUCAGCCAACAACUUCAAAGUAUUUCUAACAAUAUCUUAGUACAGUCAAUACCACCAGAGUGCAGGACAGCAGCAAUCCGUAUUACAGGUCUGUUUAACCAUUUCGAUAUUAAACAGAUUGCAUUUGUCAAGUGCAAAAACAAUAUGCAAGAUAUGAAGAUUGACUUUAUUCAUAUUAGAUGAAAUUGUAAGACAAUUGACGUCCGUUUAUAACACGUACAUGGUAAGAACGAGCGAAGACUUCACAGAGUGUAAAGACAAUAUACACUGGUAGACGACAGUGUUCAACAUAACUUUUUGGGGUAUAUUAAAGAAAAUAAACUAAGUGUGAAUCAUACAACUAAACGUUUAUGAUUGAUGGAACUUCUUCCUUUCAGUGAACAGGAAUUUCAAUUUUGCAAAAAGAGACAUGGUUACCAUUGUUGUGCAUUUCAUUCAAAACUUUAUUAUCGAUAUUUAUUUGGAGAUGUAAACUAAUGUUUCAAGUGUUCAACACUAUUUAUCCACCGCAUAUGUACCAUGACCUUGAUUUUCUCGACUACUUUCCUUUUAAAAAACAAAAAUCAUAUAAAAAUAAAGAGAUGUUGUAUGAUUGUCAUUGAGACAACUAUCUACCAAGUCAUUUGUAUCAACAUAUUCAUUUAUGAAAUAACAUUGUAGCUGUAAAACAUUUUGACUUUGUAUUCUGUCAUUUUCUGACACAUUUAAACUCAGGAAUUUUGUUGUUCCUUUGCUAUAUUUCGCUUCUUUUUACAGUUUUAAUAUUAUCUUGUCUAUGUCGAUAACUAUACCUAUAUUGGGGACUUUUUAAAAAUACUUUCAAUUGGAAAAUGAUAAGAUUAUAUUGUACAUUUGUACUAACAUAUGACAGGCCGAUAACGUUUUUUCAGAAACUUAUAUACAAAUAGUCGAACAAUUUUCUGACCUUGGGUUCAUUUGACCAAUACUGAUGACUCUUUUACUUCCUAAGGAUGACUUUCACAUUAAAAAAUAUCCACAUUUAUUUAUAUAAUAUGUGAACAAGCUUAACUAUAAAACAUGUUCACCUACAUAUCAUGACAAUACCUACAAAAACUGCAUUUUGUAUAAGCAUGGUGCACUCCUUCAAUUAUUUACUACGAAUAAUCGAUAAGAACUGUUGCAACACAUAUCAUUAAACAUCAAGUACCCAGCAAAUAUUAUCAGGUCAUAGAAAUAAAUGUUGGUCAAUAGAAAUAAAUUGAAACAGUAAUCUAGGAAAUAAAGUGUCAUUGUUGAUUAUCUUGCACUUUUGGCUAAUUCUCCGUGUAUAAAGAGGUAAGACCACUUUCCCCUGGUUUUUUGUUUUCUCCAUUUGAUCAGUUUGGUAAAUAAUGUUUCUAAAUAGCCCGAUAGAUGCUAAAUAUAGUACAUGAAAAUACGUCACAUCAUUUACCUUAAACAGGUAUACCUAAAAUAAAUAUCAAAACCAAU